rnacentral:tRNA from 1 species
CGCGGGGUGGAGCAGUUCGGUAGCUCGUCAGGCUCAUAACCUGAAGGUCGCAGGUUCAAAUCCUGCCCCCGCAA